UAGGGAAUCUUCGGCAAUGGACGAAAGUCUGACCGAGCAACGCCGCGUGAGUGAAGAAGGUUUUCGGAUCGUAAAACUCUGUUGUUAGAGAAGAACAAGGACGUUAGUAACUGAACGUCCCCUGACGGUAUCUAACCAGAAAGCCACGGCUAACUACGUGCCAGCAGCCGCGGUAAUACGUAGGUGGCAAGCGUUGUCCGGAUUUAUUGGGCGUAAAGCGAGCGUAGGCGGUUUCUUAAGUCUGAUGUGAAAGCCCCCGGCUCAACCGGGGAGGGUCAUUGGAAACUGGGAGACUUGAGUGCAGAAGAGGAGAGUGGAAUUCCAUGUGUAGCGGUGAAAUGCGUAGAUAUAUGGAGGAACACCAGUGGCGAAGGCGGCUCUCUGGUCUGUAACUGACGCUGAGGAUCGAAAGCGUGGGGGGCAAACAGG
rnacentral:rRNA from 1 species